rnacentral:rRNA from 1 species
AGUGAACGCUGGCGGUAUGCCUAAUACAUGCAAGUCGAGCGAAAGCACAGUGAGCGCGCUCCCUUAACGUUGGCGACGGACGGGCGAGUGACACGUGCAUAACCUACCUAUUAUACUGGGAGGACUUCGUGGGACAAGUGCUAAUAACAGCUAAUAUGUUCAACCGCCUAAAUCAAUAGAUCUACACGGCUUUGCCGACACUAAUAGACGGAUUCGGGUCGCAUUAGCUAGUUGGUAAGGUACCGGCCAAGCAAGGCAACGAUGCGUAGCCGAUCUGAGAGGAUGAUCGGCCACACUGGAACUGAGACACGGUCCAGACUCCUACGGGAGGCAGCAGUGGGGAAUCUUCCGCAAUGGGCGCAAGCCUGACCGAGCCACGCCGCGUGAGUGAUGAAGGUCUUCGGAUCGUAAAGCCCUGUUAUUAGGGAAGAAAAGAAGUGGAAGUAACUCUGCCCGUCUUGACGGUACCUAAUCAGAAAGCCACGGCUAACUACGUG